GGUUGAGAUGGCGCGACGCCGCGUGGAGGUUAAGGUCUUCGGAUUGUAAACUCCUGUCAUGCGAGAACAAAGCCCGCAAGGGUCUGAUAGUAUCGCAAGAGGAAGAGACGGCUAACUCUGUGCCAGCAGCCGCGGUAAUACAGAGGUCUCAAGCGUUGUUCGGAAUUACUGGGCGUAAAGGGUGCGCAGGCCGCGCGGGCAGUCAAAUGUGUAAUCCAGGGGCUCAACCCCUGAACUGUGCUUGAUACUU
rnacentral:rRNA from 1 species